UAUGAAUGCUUAUUGCACCACAUGUGUUUUUCUUUGAAACAAACUUGCUUUGGCGGUGGGCCCAGCCUGCCGCCAGAGGUCUAAACUUACAACCAAUUUUUUAUCAACUUGUCACACCAGAUUAUUACUUAAUAGUCAAAACUUUCAACAACGGAUCUCUUGGUUCUCGCAUCGAUGAAGAACGCAGCGAAAUGCGAUACGUAAUAUGAAUUGCAGAUAUUCGUGAAUCAUCGAAUCUUUGAACGCACAUUGCGCCCUCUGGUAUUCCGGAGGGCAUGCCUGUUUGAGCGUCGUUUCUCCCUCAAACCGCUGGGUUUGGUGUUGAGCAAUACGACUUGGGUUUGCUUGAAAGACGGUAGUGGUAAGGCGGGAUCGCUUUGACAAUGGCUUAGGUCUAACCAAAAACAUUGCUUGCGGCGGUAACGUCUACCACGUAUAUCUUCAAACUUUGACCUCAAAUCAGGUAGGACUACCCGCUGAACUUAAGCAUAUCAAAAGCCGGAGGAA
rnacentral:rRNA from 1 species